rnacentral:rRNA from 1 species
UACGGAGGAUGCAAGCGUUAUCCGGAAUUAUUGGGCGUAAAGCGUCCGCAGGUGGCACUUCAAGUCUGCUGUCAAAGACCGGGGCUUAACCCUGGAAAGGCAGUGGAAACUGAAGCGCUAGAGUGUGGCAGGGGUAGAGGGAAUUCCCGGUGUAGCGGUGAAAUGCGUAGAGAUCGGGAAGAACACCAGUAGCGAAGGCGGCUCGCUGGGCCAUUCCUGACGCUGAGACGCGAAAGCUAGGGGAGCGAACAGG